rnacentral:rRNA from 1 species
GGUUAAGCGACUAAGCGUACACGGUGGAUGCCCUGGCAGUCAGAGGCGAUGAAGGACGUGCUAAUCUGCGAUAAGCGUCGGUAAGGUGAUAUGAACCGUUAUAACCGGCGAUUUCCGAAUGGGGAAACCCAGUGUGAUUCGUCACACUAUCAUUAACUGAAUCCAUAGGUUAAUGAGGCGAACCGGGGGAACUGAAACAUCUAAGUACCCCGAGGAAAAGAAAUCAACCGAGAUUCCCCCAGUAGCGGCGAGCGAACGGGGAGCAGCCCAGAGCCUGAAUCAGUGUGUGUGUUAGUGGAAGCGUCUGGAAAGGCGCGCGAUACAGGGUGACAGCCCCGUACACAAAAAUGCACAUGCUGUGAGCUCGAUGAGUAGGGCGGGACACGUGGUAUCCUGUCUGAAUAUGGGGGGACCAUCCUCCAAGGCUAAAUACUCCUGACUGACCGAUAGUGAACCAGUACCGUGAGGGAAAGGCGAAAAGAACCCCGGCGAGGGGAGUGAAAAAGAACCUGAAACCGUGUACGUACAAGCAGUGGGAGCACGCUUAGGCGUGUGACUGCGUACCUUUUGUAUAAUGGGUCAGCGACUUAUAUUCUGUAGCAAGGUUAACCGAAUAGGGGAGCCGAAGGGAAACCGAGUCUUAACUGGGCGUUAAGUUGCAGGGUAUAGACCCGAAACCCGGUGAUCUAGCCAUGGGCAGGUUGAAGGUUGGGUAACACUAACUGGAGGACCGAACCGACUAAUGUUGAAAAAUUAGCGGAUGACUUGUGGCUGGGGGUGAAAGGCCAAUCAAACCGGGAGAUAGCUGGUUCUCCCCGAAAGCUAUUUAGGUAGCGCCUCGUGAAUUCAUCUCCGGGGGUAGAGCACUGUUUCGGCAAGGGGGUCAUCCCGACUUACCAACCCGAUGCAAACUGCGAAUACCGGAGAAUGUUAUCACGGGAGACACACGGCGGGUGCUAACGUCCGUCGUGAAGAGGGAAACAACCCAGACCGCCAGCUAAGGUCCCAAAGUCAUGGUUAAGUGGGAAACGAUGUGGGAAGGCCCAGACAGCCAGGAUGUUGGCUUAGAAGCAGCCAUCAUUUAAAGAAAGCGUAAUAGCUCACUGGUCGAGUCGGCCUGCGCGGAAGAUGUAACGGGGCUAAACCAUGCACCGAAGCUGCGGCAGCGACGCUGAUGCGUUGUUGGGUAGGGGAGCGUUCUGUAAGCCUGUGAAGGUGUGCUGUGAGGCAUGCUGGAGGUAUCAGAAGUGCGAAUGCUGACAUAAGUAACGAUAAAGCGGGUGAAAAGCCCGCUCGCCGGAAGACCAAGGGUUCCUGUCCAACGUUAAUCGGGGCAGGGUGAGUCGACCCCUAAGGCGAGGCCGAAAGGCGUAGUCGAUGGGAAACAGGUUAAUAUUCCUGUACUUGGUGUUACUGCGAAGGGGGGACGGAGAAGGCUAUGUUGGCCGGGCGACGGUUGUCCCGGUUUAAGCGUGUAGGCUGGUUUUCCAGGCAAAUCCGGAAAAUCAAGGCUGAGGCGUGAUGACGAGGCACUACGGUGCUGAAGCAACAAAUGCCCUGCUUCCAGGAAAAGCCUCUAAGCAUCAGGUAACAUCAAAUCGUACCCCAAACCGACACAGGUGGUCAGGUAGAGAAUACCAAGGCGCUUGAGAGAACUCGGGUGAAGGAACUAGGCAAAAUGGUGCCGUAACUUCGGGAGAAGGCACGCUGAUAUGUAGGUGAAGUCCCUCGCGGAUGGAGCUGAAAUCAGUCGAAGAUACCAGCUGGCUGCAACUGUUUAUUAAAAACACAGCACUGUGCAAACACGAAAGUGGACGUAUACGGUGUGACGCCUGCCCGGUGCCGGAAGGUUAAUUGAUGGGGUCAGCGCAAGCGAAGCUCUUGAUCGAAGCCCCGGUAAACGGCGGCCGUAACUAUAACGGUCCUAAGGUAGCGAAAUUCCUUGUCGGGUAAGUUCCGACCUGCACGAAUGGCGUAAUGAUGGCCAGGCUGUCUCCACCCGAGACUCAGUGAAAUUGAACUCGCUGUGAAGAUGCAGUGUACCCGCGGCAAGACGGAAAGACCCCGUGAACCUUUACUAUAGCUUGACACUGAACAUUGAGCCUUGAUGUGUAGGAUAGGUGGGAGGCUUUGAAGUGUGG